AGAGUUUGAUCCUGGCUCAGAAUGAACGCUGGCGGCGUGCUUAACACAUGCAAGUCGUACGAGAAAUCCUCUGCUUGCAGAGGAAAGUAAAGUGGCGUACGGGUGAGUAACGCGUGGGUAAUCUACCUUCAAAUUAAGAAUAACCCUACGAAAGUGGUGCUAAUACUUAAUGUGGUUUAAGAAGCAAAAGCAUUUUAAACUAAAAGUAGCCUAUACAUGUAAGCUAUUGUUUGAAGAUGAGCCUGCGUACCAUUAGCUAGUUGGUAAGGUAAUGGCCCACCAAGGCUACGAUGGUUAGCUGGUCUGAGAGGAUGAUCAGCCACACUGGAACUGACAUACGGUCCAGACUCCUACGGGAGGCAGCAGUGAGGAAUUUUGCGCAAUGGGGGAAACCCUGACGCAGCAACGCCGCGUGAGUGAUGAAGGCCUUCGGGUCGUAAAGCUCUGUCUGGUGGAAAGAAUGCAUGUUAAUUAAUAAGUAACAUGUUGACGGUACCAUUAAAGGAAGCACCGGCAAACUCCCGUGCCAGCAGCCGCGGUAAUACGGAGGGUGCAAGCGUUAUUCGGAAUUAUUGGGCGUAAAGGGCGCGUAGGCGGUCUAUUAAGUCAGAUGUGAAAGCCCGAGGCUUAACUUCGGAAGUGCAUAUGAUACUGGUAGACUUGAGUAUGGGAGAGGAAAGUGGAAUUCCUGGUGUAGCGGUGAAAUGCGUAGAUAUCAGGAGGAACAUCGGUGGCGAAGGCGACUUUCUGGACCAAUACUGACGCUGAGGCGCGAAGGCGUGGGGGAGCAAACAGGAUUAGAUACCCUGGUAGUCCACGCAGUAAACGGUGAACACUAGGUGUAGCGGGUAUUGACCCCUGCUGUGCCGAAGCGAACGCAUUAAGUGUUCCGCCUGGGAAGUACGGCAGCAAGGCUAAAACUCAAAGGAAUUGACGGGGGCCCGCACAAGCGGUGGAGCAUGCGGUUUAAUUCGACGCAACGCGAAGAACCUUACCUGGGUUUGACAUCCUGAAAAAGCUGUAGAAAUACGGUAAUGCCCGCAAGGGAAUUCAGUGACAGGUGCUGCAUGGCUGUCGUCAGCUCGUGUCGUGAGAUGUUGGGUUAAGUCCCGCAACGAGCGCAAACCCUAUUUUUAGUUACUACCAUUAAGUUGGGGACUCUAAAGAUACUGCCUCGGUCAACGGGGAGGAAGGUGGGGAUGACGUCAAGUCCUCAUGGCCCUUAUGUCCAGGGCUACACACGUGCUACAAUGGGCUGUACAAAGAGCAGCAAUCUCGUGAGAGUGAGCAAAUCUCAAAAAGCAGUUCGUAGUUCGGAUUGGAGUCUGCAACUCGACUCUAUGAAGCUGGAAUCGCUAGUAAUCGUAGAUCAGCAUGCUACGGUGAAUACGUUCCCGGGCCUUGUACACACCGCCCGCCACACCAUGAGAGUUGGUCGUACCAGAAGUUGUUGGGCUAACCUGAAUAAGGGAGCAGAUACCUAAGGUAUGACUGAUAAUUGGGGUGAAGUCGUAACAAG
rnacentral:rRNA from 1 species